UACGGGGGGAGCAAGCGUUGUUCGGAUUUACUGGGCGUAAAGGGCGCGUAGGCGGUCAGCACAAGUCAGUUGUGAAAUCUCCGAGCUUAACUCGGAAAGGUCAACUGAAACUGUGCGACUAGAGUGCAGAAGGGGCAACUGGAAUUCUUGGUGUAGCGGUGAAAUGCGUAGAUAUCAAGAGGAACACCUGCGGCGAAGGCGGGUUGCUGGGCUGACACUGACGCUGAAGUGCGAAAGCCAGGGGAGCGAACGGG
rnacentral:rRNA from 1 species